GACGAACGCUGGCGGCGUGCCUAAUACAUGCAAGUCGAACGAGUGGCGGACGGGUGAGUAACACGUGGGAACCUACCCAUCAGAGGGGGAUAACUCCUGGAAACGGUAGCUAAUACCGCCUACCAUCGGAUGUGCCCAGAUGGGAUUAGCUAGUGGGUGGGGUAACGGCUCACCUAGGCGACGCUCCCUAGCUGGUCUGAGAGGAUGACCGGCCACACUGGAACUGAGACACGGUCCAGACUCCUACGGGAGGCAGCAGUGGGGAAUAUUGCACAAUGGGGGCAAGCCUGAUGCAGCCAGGCCGCGUGUAUGAAGAAGGCCUUCGGGUUGUAAAGUACUUUCAGCGAGGAGGCGUUACUCGCAGAAGAAGCACCGGCUAACUCCGUGCCAGCAGCCGCGGUAAUAC
rnacentral:rRNA from 1 species